rnacentral:lncRNA from 1 species
GACAGUAGGGGGGGCUGAGGGCUUCAAUAUUACUAGUUGAGGAGCGACCCUAGUCCUCCGAGCUUCAUGGUUCAAUUGCUCCUCUUGAUGUCGUGCGAAAGAGAUGGCUACCAUAAGCGUAUACGGUUGUCGUGCUUUAACUUCUCCUCGGAUCUCCGGCUUCAAGCCCUCAAUGAAGGUCCUCAAUAGCUGUUUUUGAGACCAAUCACGAGUUUGAUUAGAUAACCUUUCAAACCUGGUUUGGUACUCCUAAAUGGUGGAGGUUUGUCGGAUCUUUGCUAGUUGUCCGUCAAUAUUCUCGUAAUCGGUUGGUCUGAAGCGAAUCAGCAGUCCUUCUUUGAAUUGUCACCAUGAAAGGACUCCAUAAGUAUGUUCAAACUAGUCAAACCACUGUAUAGCAUCCCCUUCAAGAUGUAUAGCUGCAAUUUUCAC